rnacentral:rRNA from 1 species
UACAGAGGGGGCAAGCGUUGUUCGGAAUUACUGGGCGUAAAGGGCGCGUAGGCGGCCUGUUAAGUCAGACGUGAAAUCCCUCGGCUCAACCGGGGAACUGCGUCUGAUACUGGCGGGCUUGAAUUCGGGAGAGGGAUGUGGAAUUCCAGGUGUAGCGGUGAAAUGCGUAGAUAUCUGGGGGAACACCGGUGGCGAAGGCGGCAUCCUGGACCGACAUUGACGCUGAGGCGCGAAAGCCAGGGGAGCAAACGGG